rnacentral:misc_RNA from 1 species
UCCUUGUUUCCAAGGCAGUCCCGCUAGAGUGCCACCUUUCGGUAAGCAACUAACGGCAAGGGUUGCGCUCGUUCAAGGACUUAACCCGACGUCUCACGACACGAGCUGACGACAGCCAUGCAGCACCUGUGUAACCGUUCGUAUUUCUACGAAACCCAAUGUUUCCAUCAGUAGCGAUUACAUGUCAAACCCAGGUAAGGUUCCUCGCGUAGUGUCGAAUUAAACCACAUGUUCCACCGCUUGUGCGGACCCCCGUCAAUUUCUUUGAGUUUUAAUCUUGCGACCGUAUUUCCCAGGUGGAUCACUUAACGCGUUAGCUACGACACAGACCUUGCUAAGCAAAGCCCACAUCUAGUGAUCAUCGUUUACGGCGUGGACUAC